rnacentral:rRNA from 1 species
GAUGAACGCUGGCGGCGUGCCUAAUACAUGCAAGUCGAGCGAACGGACGAGAAGCUUGCUUCUCUGAUGUUAGCGGCGGACGGGUGAGUAACACGUGGAUAACCUACCUAUAAGACUGGGAUAACUUCGGGAAACCGGAGCUAAUACCGGAUGAUAUUUUGAACCGCAUGGUUCAAAAGUGAAAGACGGUCUUGCUGUCACUUAUAGAUGGAUCCGCGCUGCAUUAGCUAGUUGGUAAGGUAACGGCUUACCAAGGCAACGAUGCAUAGCCGACCUGGGAGGGUGAUCGGCCACACGGGAACUGAGACACGGCCCAGACUCCUACGGGAGGCAGCAGUAGGGAGUCUUCCGCAAUGGGCGAAAGCCUGACGGAGCAACGCCGCGUGAGUGAUGAAGGUCUUCGGAGCGUAAAACUCUGUUAUUAGGGAAGAACAUAUGUGUAAGUAACUGUGCACAUCUUGACGGUACCUAAUCAGAAAGCCACGGCUAACUACGUG